CCCAAGAUGGGUCUGCAGGACAGCUUUUGCUGGGCUUUUUAGUGUCUGAAAACAGUGGCAACAUGACCUCAUGGGAAAGCUCUUGCACAUGGAUCUUUCUUCAGCGUGCUGUGUGGGAUAGCCAGUGCCUGUUGUUAUGACACCGGCAUAUCCCAGCAGUGGGAGGCACCAUCGAAUAGAUCCGCAAAUGCAUGCAAGAAUGCACGAGGCAAAGGAAAACAGAAAGAAAGAAAAAAAAAGUGCUGCUUCUGCUAUGUCUGCAUGCUUCCAGCUGCUCCCUGGGAAGCAUCGGUCGCGGGCCCCAGGGCACCGCAGCCCGCUAGGGGGAGGCAUCGGCUCGGGAAAGCCCCCGGAUCCCGCCCCGCACCGCCCCGCGCCCGGGGCAGCUCCAGCUGCACGUUCUCCUACUCCCAUAGGUUUGCAGCAUCUGCAAAAAGCCUCUUGGAAAUGGAGCCUAUCUGCAUCAAUUCAAAGAUCACAAACACUAAGAUGGAAACACCUGCCUUAGAGAACUGAAGAUAAUAGAGCAACACAGGAGGAGGUGAUGCUCUGACUGGUGGCUGCUGGGAUGGUUUGGGUUGAUGUCAAGCCCAGCAUGCAAUUCUGGGUUCAGCAAACCUAGGAGUUAAUUCUGAUGCUAUCUGUGAUUCAGGGAAAGAAAGUCAAAGCAACCAAAGGUCUUGGCCAGGAUAAUUCUCUUGACAUUUAUAAGGAUGUUUAUGCAUACAGAAAGAAGGGGUCUUCUGCAUAUAGAAAGAUUGGGGCUUAAAAUGAUCUGUCAGCAAUAUCCAGCCUUGUUAUGAGAGAUGAGCUAAGACAGAUGUAGUCUGGUUUAAGGAAUGCAGUCCAUGGAGUGGCACCUGCUUCUAAUUUGGGUGAAUUCAGUCCUGUUUUGUCACUUGCGGUUUGCUUACAUUAGCAAGCAGCAUUAUCAAUACUGCCCAAGCUACCGUCUGAGACUAAAAUACCCUGUCAUUGUCACUGCAAUUCCCUAAUGCUGGUUUUACAAGGAUUUUACUCUUGAUGUCAUUCUUUUUAAUUGCAUUUGGAUUUAUUUAUUUAUUUUUUAUUAGUCUGAAAAAUAAAUGAUUGUUGUUGCUGGAACUCUGGUCCUCU
rnacentral:lncRNA from 1 species